rnacentral:rRNA from 1 species
UACGAAGGGGGCUAGCGUUGCUCGGAAUCACUGGGCGUAAAGCGCACGUAGGCGGCUUUUUAAGUCAGGGGUGAAAUCCUGGAGCUCAACUCCAGAACUGCCUUGAUACUGGGAAGCUUGAGUCCGGAAGAGGUGAGUGGAACUCCGAGUGUAGAGGUGAAAUUCGUAGAUAUUCGGAAGAACACCAGUGGCGAAGGCGGCUCACUGGUCCGGUACUGACGCUGAGGUGCGAAAGCGUGGGGAGCAAACAGG